rnacentral:rRNA from 1 species
ACUCAAAUGAAUUGACGGGGGCCCGCACAAGCGGUGGAGCAUGUGGUUUAAUUCGACGCAACGCGCAGAACCUUACCAGGCCUUGACAUGCCUCGCGACGCUCUGAAAGGAGCGGUUCCCUUCGGGGACGAGGACACAGGUGCUGCAUGGCUGUCGUCAGCUCGUGUCGUGAGAUGUUGGGUUAAGUCCCGCAACGAGCGCAACCCUCGCCUUCAGUUGCCAUCAUUUAGUUGGGCACUCUGGAGGGACUGCCGGUGACAAGCCGGAGGAAGGUGGGGAUGACGUCAAGUCCUCAUGGCCCUUACGGCCUGGGCUACACACGUGCUACAAUGGCGAUGACAGAGGGCAGCGAAGGCGCGAGCCCGAGCCAAUCUCUAAAAGUCGUCUCAGUUCAGAUUGCACGCUGCAACUCGCGUGCAUGAAGGUGGAAUCGCUAGUAAUCGCAGAACAGCAGGCUGCGGUGAAUACGUUCCCGGGCCUUGUACACACCGCCCGU